UGUAUAAUGGGUCAGCGACUUAUAUUCUGUAGCAAGGUUAACCGAAUAGGGGAGCCGAAGGGAAACCGAGUCUUAACUGGGCGUUAAGUUGCAGGGUAUAGACCCGAAACCCGGUGAUCUAGCCAUGGGCAGGUUGAAGGUUGGGUAACACUAACUGGAGGACCGAACCGACUAAUGUUGAAAAAUUAGCGGAUGACUUGUGGCUGGGGGUGAAAGGCCAAUCAAACCGGGAGAUAGCUGGUUCUCCCCGAAAGCUAUUUAGGUAGCGCCUCGUGAAUUCAUCUCCGGGGGUAGAGCACUGUUUCGGCAAGGGGGUCAUCCCGACUUACCAACCCGAUGCAAACUGCGAAUACCGGAGAAUGUUAUCACGGGAGACACACGGCGGGUGCUAACGUCCGUCGUGAAGAGGGAAACAACCCAGACCGCCAGCUAAGGUCCCAAAGUCAUGGUUAAGUGGGAAACGAUGUGGGAAGGCCCAGACAGCCAGGAUGUUGGCUUAGAAGCAGCCAUCAUUUAAAGAAAGCGUAAUAGCUCACUGGUCGAGUCGGCCUGCGCGGAAGAUGUAACGGGGCUAAACCAUGCACCGAAGCUGCGGCAGCGACGCUUAUGCGUUGUUGGGUAGGGGAGCGUUCUGUAAGCCUGCGAAGGUGUGCUGU
rnacentral:rRNA from 1 species